rnacentral:rRNA from 1 species
UGCAGUCGAGCGGACCGACGGGAGCUUGCUCCCUUAGGUCAGCGGCGGACGGGUGAGUAACACGUGGGUAACCUGCCUGUAAGACUGGGAUAACUCCGGGAAACCGGGGCUAAUACCGGAUGCUUGAUUGAACCGCAUGGUUCAAUCAUAAAAGGUGGCUUUUAGCUACCACUUGCAGAUGGACCCGCGGCGCAUUAGCUAGUUGGUGAGGUAACGGCUCACCAAGGCGACGAUGCGUAGCCGACCUGAGAGGGUGAUCGGCCACACUGGGACUGAGACACGGCCCAGACUCCUACGGGAGGCAGCAGUAGGGAAUCUUCCGCAAUGGACGAAAGUCUGACGGAGCAACGCCGCGUGAGUGAUGAAGGUUUUCGGAUCGUAAAACUCUGUUGUUAGGGAAGAACAAGUACCGUUCGAAUAGGGCGGUACCUUGACGGUACCUAACCAGAAAGCCACGGCUAACUACGUGCCAGCAGCCGCGGUAAUACGUAGGUGGCAAGCGUUGUCCGGAAUUAUUGGGCGUAAAGCGCGCGCAGGCGGUUUCUUAAGUCUGAUGUGAAAGCCCCCGGCUCAACCGGGGAGGGUCAUUGGAAACUGGGGAACUUGAGUGCAGAAGAGGAGAGUGGAAUUCCACGUGUAGCGGUGAAAUGCGUAGAGAUGUGGAGGAACACCAGUGGCGAAGGCGACUCUCUGGUCUGUAACUGACGCUGAGGCGCGAAAGCGUGGGGAGCGAACAGGAUUAGAUACCCUGGUAGUCCACGCCGUAAACGAUGAGUGCUAAGUGUUAGAGGGUUUCCGCCCUUUAGUGCUGCAGCAAACGCAUUAAGCACUCCGCCUGGGGAGUACGGUCGCAAGACUGAAACUCAAAGGAAUUGACGGGGGCCCGCACAAGCGGUGGAGCAUGUGGUUUAAUUCGAAGCAACGCGAAGAACCUUACCAGGUCUUGACAUCCUCUGACAACCCUAGAGAUAGGGCUUCCCCUUCGGGGGCAGAGUGACAGGUGGUGCAUGGUUGUCGUCAGCUCGUGUCGUGAGAUGUUGGGUUAAGUCCCGCAACGAGCGCAACCCUUGAUCUUAGUUGCCAGCAUUCAGUUGGG